rfam:Helicobacter bilis strain ATCC 49320 CONTIG_143, whole genome shotgun sequence.
CCGUUGGAAUCUGUGUAGGUGAAAUAUAGUGGAUAUGCGUAUCAAUGCCACCAGCAGUAACGAUUAGUCCCUCUCCAGCGAUAACUUCUGUAUUUGUGCCAACAAUAAGUUUAUCACAUACGCCAUCUUGUGUGUCUUUAUUCCCCGCUUUUCCAAUGCCAAAAAUCUUUCCAUUUUUUAUGCCUAUAUCUGCUUUAUAGAUUCCAGUGUAAUCUAUAAUAACUGCAUUUGUGAUUACAGAAUCUAACUCAUUUUCACUAUCGCUUACAGAUUGCGCCAUACCAUCUCUUAUAG